rnacentral:sRNA from 1 species
GCUGGGCGUGGUGGCAGACACCUGUAAUCACAGCUUCUCAGAGGCUGAGGCAGGAGGAUCACGAGUUUAAAGCCAGCCUCAGCAAAAGUGAGGUGCAAAGCAACUCAUUGAGACCCUGUCUCCA